rnacentral:rRNA from 1 species
GUGGGGAAUAUUCCGCAAUGGACGAAAGUCUGACGGAGCAACGCCGCGUGAGUGAUGAAGGUUUUCGGACUGUAAAGCUCUGUUGUUUAGGACGAAAGUGCCUGUUGCAAAUAGUUACAGGUAUUGACGGUACUGAACGAGGAAGCCACGGCUAACUACGUGCCAGCAGCCGCGGUAAUACGUAGGUGGCAAGCGUUGUCCGGAAUUAUUGGGCGUAAAGAGCAUGUAUGCGGGAAUCUAAGUCUGUUGUGAAAAUGCGGGGCUCAACCCCGUAUUGCGAUGGAAACUGGGUUUCUUGAGUGCAGGAGAGGAAAGGGGAAUUCCCAGUGUAGCGGUGAAAUGCGUAGAUAUUGGGAGGAACACCAGUGGCGAAGGCGCCUUUCUGGACUGUGUCUGACGCUGAGAUGCGAAAGCCAGGGUAGCGAACGGGAUUAGAAACCCUGGUAGUCC